AGAAAAUGGGAAAAAAAAUUUUAUUUUAGAGAGAGGAUAUAGGGAGAGAGAGUGGGAGAGAGAGGAGAGAGCACUUUAUUGCCUUUUUUAUGAUGCACGCAUCCAUGGCAGAACACAGGGGUACCGAGUACUGCUACGAUGCAAGGGUAGAAGAGAAGCCCAAUAAACAUUAACCUCAACCAUACAAACAACAACAACAAGAAGGUCCUGAAACAGAGAGGAAAAAGAAAUUGAGAGAGAGAGAGAGA
rnacentral:misc_RNA from 1 species